CGAGUGCCCCGAGCGUUAUCCGGAAUCAUUGGGCGUAAAGGGUGUGUAGGUGGUCAGAUUAGUCUUCAGUUAAAUUCUUCGGCUUAACCGGGGGCAUGCUGGGGAAACGGUCUGACUUGAGGAUGCGAGAGGUGAAUGGAACUCUAAGUGUAGGGGUGAAAUCCGUUGAUAUUUAGGGGAACACCAAAAGCGAAGGCAGUUCACUGGCGCAUUCCUGACACUGAAACACUAAAGCGUGGGUAGCGAAUGGGAUUAGAUACCCCAGUAGUCCACGCCCUAAACGAUGUCUUUUAGGUUUUCGGAGUAUCGACCCUCUGAGAGCCGUAGCUAACGCGUUAAAAAGACCGCCUGGGUAGUACGGCCGCAAGGCUA
rnacentral:rRNA from 1 species